rnacentral:rRNA from 1 species
CAGUAGCCACGGUAAUACGUAGGUGGCAAGCGUUGUCCGGAAUUAUUGGGCGUAAAGCGCGCGCAGGUGGUUUAAUAAGUCUGAUGUGAAAGCCCACGGCUCAACCGUGGAGGGUCAUUGGAAACUGUUAAACUUGAGUGCAGGAGAGAAAAGUGGAAUUCCUAGUGUAGCGGUGAAAUGCGUAGAGAUUAGGAGGAACACCAGUGGCGAAGGCGGCUUUUUGGCCUGCAACUGACACUGAGGCGCGAAAGCGUGGGGAGCAAACAGGAUUAGAUACCCCAGUAGUCCCUGUCUCUUAUAC